rnacentral:sRNA from 1 species
CGGGAGGAGGUUGAUCAAAGAAUCAAGAAUGAUACUGAGGAGUAUUCUGAGAAGUUUUCAGAGGAUGCCAAAUCUAUCUGCAGGAUGCCUCAUGCCGUUUACUGUAAGGACGUCCUGGAUAUUGAGCAGUUCUCGGCGGUGAAAGGGAUCUACCUGGACACCGCAGAUGAAGACUUCUAUGCUCAGUUUGCUACAGGGUGUGUCUCCAUCCCCUGGCAGAAUGAGAUGAUCGAAUCUGGGUGUUUCAAAGACAUCAACAAAAGUGAAAGUGAGGAAGCUUUGCCAUUAGAUCUAGACAAGAACAUACAUACCCCGGUUUCCAGACCAAACAGAGGCUUCUUCUAUAGACUCUUCAGAAGAGGGGUAAAAACACUUAAAAACUAAUAUGUGUAUGUGAAAAGAAAAACACACUGACUACC